ACUACACCGUAUUCUGUGAGUUGCGAACGGGUGAGUAACGCGUAGGUAACCUGCCUGGUAGCGGGGGAUAACUAUUGGAAACGAUAGCUAAUACCGCAUAAGAACAUUUACUGCAUGGUAGAUGUUUAAAAGGUGCAAAUGCAUCACUACCAGAUGGACCUGCGUUGUAUUAGCUAGUUGGUGAGGUAACGGCUCACCAAGGCAACGAUACAUAGCCGACCUGAGAGGGUGAUCGGCCACACUGGGACUGAGACACGGCCCAGACUCCUACGGGAGGCAGCAGUAGGGAAUCUUCGGCAAUGGGGGGAACCCUGACCGAGCAACGCCGCGUGAGUGAAGAAGGUUUUCGGAUCGUAAAGCUCUGUUGUUAAGGAAGAACGUGUGUGAGAGUGGAAAGUUCACACAGUGA
rnacentral:rRNA from 1 species